rnacentral:lncRNA from 1 species
AAAUUGGAAGGAAUCAAAAGAUAAUGGCAUAGUUGUAGAUGCGUUGAAGUGGUAAGGGUAAAAUUGGAAAGGAAUCAAAAGUUAAUGGCAUAACAGUAGAUAUGUUGAAGUGUUAGGGGCAAAAUGAAAAUUUAAUAAUAUUAAACAAAGGGUGAAUAGUGUUUUGAUGUGACUUAAUUAAGGAGGUUUGCUGUGGCUUUUGGAUGGAAACCGAGAGAGAGUAACAGAGAGGGAGAGUCAGAGACGCAGAGAGGAAAGAAAGAAGGAAAAAGAGAAGAAGAAGAAGAAGAAAGAAGAAGAGGAAGGGGAUUCGAGGAGGAGAGGGAUCCCGGUUGCGCUCCCAGCUGAAGGAAAAAAUAUAGGUAUCCUUCCCCUCUACGCAAGGACCCAAGUUUUACAAGAAGAAAAAGGUAAAUACCCAUCCCUACCUAGUAUUCUAAAGAAUUUAUGCUAUAGAAAGAGUAGAUGACAAUUGUAAAGGGUGUUAAAAGGGGAAGAAUCGGAUUUCGACAAAUUUUUCCGGCACUACGGAAAAACUGUGUCG